rnacentral:rRNA from 1 species
UACGUAGGGGGCUAGCGUUGUCCGGAAUCAUUGGGCGUAAAGAGCGUGUAGGCGGCCCGGUAAGUCCGCUGUGAAAGUCUAGGGCUCAACCCUGGAAUGCGGGUGGAUACUGCCGGGCUAGAGUCCGGAAGAGGCGAGUGGAAUUCCUGGUGUAGCGGUGGAAUGCGCAGAUAUCAGGAGGAACACCGAUAGCGAAGGCAGCUCGCUGGGACGGUACUGACGCUAAGGCGCGAAAGCGUGGGGAGCGAACAGG